rnacentral:rRNA from 1 species
UACGUAGGGUGCGAGCGUUAAUCGGAAUUACUGGGCGUAAAGCGUGCGCAGGCGGUUCGUUAAGUCUGAUGUGAAAGCCCCGGGCUCAACCUGGGAAUGGCAUUGGAAACUGGCGAGCUCGAGUAUGGCAGAGGGGGGUGGAACUCCACGUGUAGCAGUGAAAUGCGUAGAGAUGUGGAAGAACACCGAUGGCGAAGGCAGCCCCCUGGGUCAAUACUGACGCUCAGGCACGAAAGCGUGGGGAGCAAACAGG